AAACGACUCUCGGCAACGGAUAUCUUGGCUCUCGCAUCGAUGAAGAACGCAGCAAAAUGCGAUACUUGGUGUGAAUUGCAGAAUCCCGUGAACCAUCGAGUUUUUGAACGCAAGUUGCGCCCGCAGCCAUUAUGCCGAGGGCACGUCUGCCUGGGCGUCACGC
rnacentral:rRNA from 1 species